AGAGUUUGAUCCUGGCUCAGGAUGAACGCUGGCGGCGUGCUUAACACAUGCAAGUCGAGCGAAGCACUUUUUUAGAACUCUUCGGAGGGAAGAGAGGGUGACUUAGCGGCGGACGGGUGAGUAACGCGUGGGCAACCUGCCUUACACAGGGGGAUAACAAUUAGAAAUGAUUGCUAAUACCGCAUAAGACCCCAGUACCGCAUGGUACAGAGGUAAAAACUGAGGUGGUGUAAGAUGGGCCCGCGUCUGAUUAGGUAGUUGGUGGGGUAGAAGCCUACCAAGCCGACGAUCAGUAGCCGACCUGAGAGGGCGACCGGCCACAUUGGGACUGAGACACGGCCCAAACUCCUACGGGAGGCAGCAGUGGGGAAUAUUGCACAAUGGGGGAAACCCUGAUGCAGCGACGCCGCGUGAGUGAAGAAGUAUUUCGGUAUGUAAAGCUCUAUCAGCAGGGAAGAAAAUGACGGUACCUGACUAAGAAGCCCCGGCUAACUACGUGCCAGCAGCCGCGGUAAUACGUAGGGGGCAAGCGUUAUCCGGAUUUACUGGGUGUAAAGGGAGCGUAGACGGAUAAGCAAGUCUGAUGUGAAAAUCCGGGGCCCAACCCCGGAAUUGCAUUGGAAACUGCAUAUCUAGAGUGUCGGAGAGGCAAGUGGAAUUCCUGGUGUAGCGGUGAAAUGCGUAGAUAUCAGGAGGAACACCAGUGGCGAAGGCGGCUUGCUGGACGAUGACUGACGUUGAGGCUCGAAAGCGUGGGGAGCAAACAGGAUUAGAUACCCUGGUAGUCCACGCCGUAAACG
rnacentral:rRNA from 1 species